rnacentral:rRNA from 1 species
GAUCAAGAUACAAAGGGCACAUGGUGGAUGCCUAGGCGCAAGAGGCCGAUGAAGGACGUGGUAGGCUGCGAAAAGCUUCGGGGAGCUGCCAAACAAGCGUAGAACCGGAGAUAUCCGAAUGGGGGAACCCGCCCGACGGAAUGGUCGGGCACCGCAUGCGGAACGAGAUAGGCAUGUGGAGGUAAGUGGAGGAACUGAAACAUCUUAGUACUCCGAGGAAUAGAGACCAUUCUCCUAGUAGUGGCGAGCGAACGGGGAAGAGCCCAAACUGACCGUGCGUGAGAGCAUGUAGGCGUUGCAUGGUCGGGGUAGAGCGCGCCGACGGACCCCCUACAUGGGGUCGAGGGAGUGACAAAACGGAGACCUAGAAGAAGGGCACUGGAAAGGCCAACCAUAGAGGGUGAGAGUCCCGUAUUCGAAAGGUAGACGUCUCCCGUCGGAAGGCGUGAGUACCACGGAGCACGCUAAUUCUGUGGGAAACUGGGGAGCCCACUCUCCAAGGCUAAAUACCGAAUGCGACCGAUAGUGGACAAGUACCGUGAGGGAAAGGUGAAAAGAACCGGGGUGACCGGAGUGAAAAGAACCUGAAACCGUGUGCUUACAAGCAGUGGGAGGACGAAUUCUCCUUCGGGGGGAUGUCGUCUGACCGCGUGCCUUUUGGAGAAUGAGCCAGCGAGUUACUCUCUGUGGCGGAGGUUAAGGGAGAGAACACCCGGAGCCGAAGCGAAAGCGAGUCCGAAUAGGGCGCACGAUGCUGAGCAUCUUUGAUGCUUGGGCAUGGCAGUCGCAGGGAGUAGACACGAAACCAGGUGAGCUACCCAUGGCCAGGGAGAAGCGGGGGUAAAACCUCGUGGAAGGCCGAACCUUUCACUGCUGCAAAAGUGAGGGAUGAGCUGUGGGUAGAGGCGAAAUGUCAAACGAACUUGGAGAUAGCUUGUUCUCCCCGAAAUAGCUCUAGGGCUAGCGCCAGGUGAUGGAUUGUGGAGGUAGAGCACUGAAUUGGCUAGGGGGCUUACAGCUUACCGAACCAUAUCAAACUCCGAAUACCACAAUGAGUAGCCUCGGCAGUCGGACAGUGGGGGAUGAGCUUCAUUGUCGAGAGGGAAAGAGCCCAGACCGCCAGCUAAGGUCCCAAAGUUUAGGCUAAGUGGAAAAGGAAGUGAGUUUGCUGAAACAGCCAGGAGGUUGGCUUAGAAGCAGCCAUCCUUGAAAGAGUGCGUAAUAGCUCACUGGUCUAGUGGACUUGCACCGAUAAUGUAACGGGGCUAAAGCCUAGCACCGAAGCUGCGGGCUCUGACGUAGGUCAGAGUGGUAGGGGAGCGUUCUGGCAGCGUAGAAGCCGUCUCGUGAGGGAUGGUGGAGCGGCCAGAAGUGAGAAUGCUGGCAUGAGUAGCGAGAAACGCGUGCGAAACGCGUUCGCCGUACGUCCAAGGUUUCCGACGGAAGGUUAAUCCACGUCGGGUUAGUCGGUCCUAAGUCGAGGGCGAAAGUCGUAGGCGAUGGACAACGGGUUAAUAUUCCCGUACCACGUGGAGAUGAUUGAGCGAAGGGGUGACGCAGGAGGGUAAUCCAGCCCAUUAACGGAUUUGGGUGCCAAACCUGUAGGGCGAUGAAGGGGACAGGGAAAACCGUUCCCGGAGCCUGAGGGGUGAAGGCGGGGCCAAGAGCCCAGAAGUGGAUGAGCCCAUACUGCCAAGAAAAGCCUCUAGUGAGUCUCGCGUGACCGUACCGCAAACCGACACAGGUGGACGGAUAGAGCAUAUCAAGGCGAUCGGGAGAACCUUUGUUAAGGAACUCGGCAAAAUGACUCCGUAACUUUGGAAGAAGGAGGGUCCCACUGGGUGAAGGAGCGAGCCUUCGGAGCCCGGAGGGAUGGCACGAAAGUGGCCCAACCGACUGUUUAACAAAAGCACAGGUCUCUGCUAAAGCGAAAGCUGAAGUAUAGGGGCUGACACCUGCCCAGUGCCGGAAGGUUAAGGGGAAAGGUUAGGAUGGCUUAGGUCAUCCAAAGCCAAGAACCGAAGCCCCGGUGAACGGCGGCCGUAACUAUAACGGUCCUAAGGUAGCGAAAUUCCUUGUCGGGUAAGUUCCGACCCGCACGAAUGGUGUAACGAGUUGGGCGCUGUCUCAACAAAGGACCCGGCGAAAUUGAAGUAGGCGUAAAGAUGCGUCUUCCCCGCAGCAGGACAAAAAGACCCCGUGGAGCUUUACUGUAACUUGUUAUUGAACCCGGGCUCGAUUUGUGUAGGAUAGGUGGGAGGCAGGGAAGCUGGGGCGCUAGCCUCGGUGGAGCCGCCAGUGAAAUACCACCCUAAUCGAGUCUUGGUCCUAACCCUUAUCCGUGAGCCGGUGAGGGGACAGUGUCAGGUGGACAGUUUGACUGGGGCGGUCGCCUCCCAAAAGGUAACGGAGGCGCCCAAAGGUUUCCUCAGGCUGGAUGGAACCAGCCAGAGAGUGUAAAGGCAGAAGGGAGCUUAACUGCGAGACAAACAGGUCGAGCAGUGACGAAAGUCGGGCUUAGUGAUCCCACGACGCCGUGUGGAAGGGUCGUGGCUUAACGGACAAAAGCUACCCCGGGGAUAACAGGCUAGUCUUGCCCAAGAGUUCACAUCGACGGCAAGGAUCGGCACCUCGAUGUCGGCUCAUCGCAUCCUGGGGCCGUACAAGGUCCCAAGGGUUGGGCUGUUCGCCCAUUAAAGCGGUACGUGAGCUGGGUUCAGACCGUCGUGAGACAGGUCGGUCUCUAUCCGCUGUGGGCGCAGGUGACUUGAGAGGAGCGAUUCCUAGUACGAGAGGACCGGAAUGGACAAACCGCUGGUGAGCCAGUUGUACCGCCAGGUGCAUAGCUGGGUAGCUACGUUUGGAUGGGAUAACCGCUGAAAGCAUCUAAGUGGGAAGCCCACCUCAAGAUGAGGUCACCCAUUGCGCGAAGCAAGUAAGACCCCUGGGAGACUACCAGGUAGAUAGGCGGCAUGUGUAAGGGCGGCAACGUCCUGAGCAAAGCCGUACUAAUGGUCGAGGGCUUGAACG